rnacentral:snRNA from 2 species
AUACCUUUCUCGGCCUUUUGGCUAAGAUCAAGUGUAGUAUCUGUUCUUAUCAGUUUAAUAUCUGAUAUGUGGGCCAUGUGCCCACAACGAUAUUAAAUUUAUUUUUUGUGGGGGAGGGCCCACCACAGUGGCUUGCCACUGGGGCCCUCAGGUGUCGCCCAGUGCGUUGCACUAUUGCCUGGGCAGGCCUACCCCAA